CCGCGAGUUUCUGUUUGCAGCAAGCUUAAGCCGUUAGGUGUAGGCGCAGCGAAAGCGAGUCCGAACAGGGCGCUGAGUUGCAGGCAGAAGACCCGAAACCGAGUGAUCUAGCCAUGGCCAGGCUGAAGGUGCGGUAACACGCACUGGAGGGCCGAACCCACGCCUGUUGAAAAAGUCGGGGAUGAGCUGUGGCUAGGGGUGAAAGGCCAAUCAAACUCGGAAAUAGCUGGUUCUCCGCGAAAUCUAUUGAGGUAGAUCGUCGUUCGAUUACCGCCGGAGGUAGAGCACCGGAAGGGCUAGGGGGACCCAAAGUCCUACCAAACCCUACCGAACUCCGAAUGCCGGCGAGUACAGGGCGGCAGACAGACAGUGGGUGCUAAGGUCCAUUGUCGAGAGGGAAACAGCCCAGACCACCAGCUAAGGCCCCCAAAUGAUGGCUAAGUGGGAAAGCAUGUGAGACGGCCAAAACAACCAGGAGGUUGGCUUAGAAGCAGCCAUCCUUUAAAGAAAGCGUAAUAGCUCACUGGUCUAAUAGCUGUCUUGCGGCGAAAAUGUAACGGGGCUCAAGCCAUCUGCCGAAGCUGUGGGCGCAUGCAAAUGCGCGGUAGCGGAGCGUUCCGUAAGCCUGUGAAGGCGGACCCGUGAGGGCCGCUGGAGGUAUCGGAAGUGCGAAUGCGGACAUGAGUAGCGACAAGGAGAGUGAGAACCUCUCCCGCCGAAAGUCCAAGGGUUCCUGCGCAAGGCCAAUCCGCGCAGGGUGAGCCGGCCCCUAAGGCGAGGGCGACAGCCGUAGCCGAUGGAAACCAGGUGAAUAUUCCUGGGCCUGUCAGAAGUGACGAGUGUGAAACGUUGUUCCUUCUUAUUGGAUUGGAGGGGCGGCUGGAUCACUCCAGGAAAUAGCUCUGACAUAUAGACCGUACCCGAAACCGACACAGGUGGACUGGUUGAGUAUACCGAGGCGCUUGAGAGAACCAUGCUGAAGGAACUAGGCAAAUUACUCGCGUAACUUCGGGAUAAGCGAGACCCAAUUCUGGGCAACCAGGGUUGGGUGGCACAAACCAGGGGGUGGCGACUGUUUAGUAAAAACACAGGACUCUGCGAAAUCGAGAGAUGACGUAUAGGGUCUGACGCCUGCCCGGUGCCGGAAGGUUAAGGGGAGAUGUGCAAGCAUCGAACCGAAGCCCCGGUAAACGGCGGCCGUAACUAUAACGGUCCUAAGGUAGCGAAAUUCCUUGUCGGGUAAGUUCCGACCUGCACGAAUGGCGUAACGACCUCCCCACUGUCUCCAGCAUGGGCUCAGCGAAAUUGAAUUCCCCGUGAAGAUGCGGGGUACCCGUGGUCAGACGGAAAGACCCUAUGAACCUUUACUGCAACUUCGCAGUGGUGCCAGGAAGGGGCUGUGUAGGAUAGGUGGGAGGCUAUGAAACCGGGGCGCUAGCUUCGGCGGAGCCAUCCUUGAAAUACCACCCUGCGCCUUUCUGGCAUCUAACUGAGCCCGGUUAUCCCGGGCCAGGACCCUGCGUGGUGGGCAGUUUGACUGGGGCGGUCGCCUCCCAAAUGGUAACGGAGGCGCGCGAUGGUGGGCUCAAGCCGGUCGGACAUCGGCUGUUGAGUGCAAAGGCAUAAGCCCGCCUGACUGUGAGCGCGACAGCGCGAACAGAGACGAAAGUCGGCCUUAGUGAUCCGGUGGUCCCGCGUGGAAGGGCCAUCGCUCAACGGAUAAAAGGUACUCUAGGGAUAACAGGCUGAUCUCCCCCAAGAGUCCACAUCGACGGGGAGGUUUGGCACCUCGAUGUCGGCUCAUCGCAUCCCGGGGCUGGAGCAGGUCCCAAGGGUUCGGCUGUUCGCCGAUUAAAGCGGUACGUGAGCUGGGUUUAGAACGUCGUGAGACAGUUCGGUCCCUAUCUGCCAUGGGUGUUGGAGACUUGCGAGGAUCUGUCCCUAGUACGAGAGGACCGGGAUGGACGUACCUCUGGUGUACCAGUUGUUCCGCCAGGAGCAUCGCUGGGUAGCUAAGUACGGAACGGAUAACCGCUGAAGGCAUCUAAGCGGGAAACCAGCCUCAAAACCAGGUCUCCCCAAGGGUCGUGGAAGACCACCACGUCGAUAGGCCGCAAGUGGAAGUCGGGUAACCGACGCAGCUGAGCGGUCCUAAUCACCCAAUUGAUCUC
rnacentral:rRNA from 1 species